rnacentral:rRNA from 1 species
CAACGAAUCUUCCGCAAUGCGCGAAAGCGUGACGGAGCAAUGCCGCGUGCAGGAUGAAGCCUUUCGGGGUGUAAACUGCUGUCAGGGUUUAGCAACACAAUGAGCAGACCCAAAGGAAGGGCCGGCUAACUUCGUGCCAGCAGCCGCGGUAAUACGAAGGGCCCGAGCGUUGCGCGGAAUCACUGGGCUUAAAGCGUACGUAGGCGGACAUGCAGGCACCUUGUGAAAGCCCUCGGCUCAACCGAGGAAUUGCUUGGUGAACCGCAUGUCUUGAGGCAAGUAGGGGCUGUCGGAACGAUAGGUGGAGCGGUGAAAUGCGUUGAUAUCUAUCGGAACGCCGAAGGCGAAGGCAGGCAGCUGGGCUUGUUCUGACGCUGAGGUACGAAAGCGUGGGGAGCGAACGGGAUUAGAUACCCCUGUAGUCC